AGAGUUUGAUCCUGGCUCAGGAUGAACGCUGGCGGCGUGCCUAAUACAUGCAAGUCGAGCGAACGGACGAGAAGCUUGCUUCUCUGAUGUUAGCGGCGGACGGGUGAGUAACACGUGGAUAACCUACCUAUAAGACUGGGAUAACUUCGGGAAACCGGAGCUAAUACCGGAUAAUAUUUUGAACCGCAUGGUUCAAAAGUGAAAGACGGUCUUGCUGUCACUUAUAGAUGGAUCCGCGCUGCAUUAGCUAGUUGGUAAGGUAACGGCUUACCAAGGCAACGAUGCAUAGCCGACCUGAGAGGGUGAUCGGCCACACUGGAACUGAGACACGGUCCAGACUCCUACGGGAGGCAGCAGUAGGGAAUCUUCCGCAAUGGGCGAAAGCCUGACGGAGCAACGCCGCGUGAGUGAUGAAGGUCUUCGGAUCGUAAAACUCUGUUAUUAGGGAAGAACAUAUGUGUAAGUAACUGUGCACAUCUUGACGGUACCUAAUCAGAAAGCCACGGCUAACUACGUGCCAGCAGCCGCGGUAAUACGUAGGUGGCAAGCGUUUUCCGGAAUUAUUGGGCGUAAAGCGCGCGUAGGCGGUUUUUUAAGUCUGAUGUGAAAGCCCACGGCUCAACCGUGGAGGGUCAUUGGAAACUGGAAAACUUGAGGGCAGAAGAGGAAAGUGGAAUUCCAUGUGUAGCGGUGAAAUGCGCAGAGAUAUGGAGGAACACCAGUGGCGAAGGCGACUUUCUGGUCUGUAACUGACGCUGAUGUGCGAAAGCGUGGGGAUCAAACAGGAUUAGAUACCCUGGUAGUCCACGCCGUAAACGAUGAGUGCUAAGUGUUAGGGGGUUUCCGCCCCUUAGUGCUGCAGCCAACGCAUUAAGCAACUCCGCCUGGGGAGUACGACCGCAAGGUUGAAACUCAAAGGAAUUGACGGGGACCCGCACAAGCGGUGGAGCAUGUGGUUUAAUUCGAAGCAACGCGAAGAACCUUACCAAAUCUUGACAUCCUUUGACAACUCUAGAGAUAGAGCCUUCCCCUUCGGGGGACAAAGUGACAGGUGGUGCAUGGUUGUCGUCAGCUCGUGUCGUGAGAUGUUGGGUUAAGUCCCGCAACGAGCGCAACCCUUAAGCUUAGUUGCCAUCAUUAAGUUGGGCACUCUAAGUUGACUGCCGGUGACAAACCGGAGGAAGGUGGGGAUGACGUCAAAUCAUCAUGCCCCUUAUGAUUUGGGCUACACACGUGCUACAAUGGACAAUACAAAGGGCAGCGAAACCGCGAGGUCAAGCAAAUCCCAUAAAGUUGUUCUCAGUUCGGAUUGUAGUCUGCAACUCGACUACAUGAAGCUGGAAUCGCUAGUAAUCGUAGAUCAGCAUGCUACGGUGAAUACGUUCCCGGGUCUUGUACACACCGCCCGUCACACCACGAGAGUUUGUAACACCCGAAGCCGGUGGAGUAACCUUUUAGGAGCUAGCCGUCGAAGGUGGGACAAAUGAUUGGGGUGAAGUCGUAACAAGGUAGCCGUAUCGGAAGGUGCGGCUGGAUC
rnacentral:rRNA from 1 species